AACGUAGGUGGCGAGCGUUAUCCGGAUUCAUUGGGCGUAAAGAGCUUGUAGGUGGCGGCGUAAGUUGGACGUGAAAUCGCCCGGCUCAACCGGGCGGGGUCGUUCAAUACUGCGCGGCUGGAGGAGGCUCAGGAGGGAGUAGGAUUCGGUGUAGCAGUGAAAUGCGUAGAUAUCAGGAGGAACACCCGUGGCGAAGGCGGCUUCCUGGGGCCGAUCCUGACACUGAGAAGCGAAAGCUAGGGGAGCGAACGGG
rnacentral:rRNA from 1 species